rnacentral:lncRNA from 1 species
UGAGAAUUCUAUUUGACUGUGACUUUCAGCCAUGGCAGGGCUCAGUCACCAACUAUUCAUAAGAGGGUAAGGAGACAGAUGCAGGCAGGGAGCGGGAGGAGGGAAUGGGAAUGAGCUGAGCAGCAGCAUCACAGCUGGAGGGCUGGACAUGGAUGACCAGCUCCUCACUUCCAGGUGUUUCCACAUCAAGCAUCCUGCAGACAGCUAACAAGUUCAUUCUACAAAGUACAGUUCUCACCACUUUAUCCUUCCUCUGCUCGGAAACAGUCAAUGGUUUCCCACUGUCCACAGGGGAUGCUUAACGCAUGUGGGUUAUGCAGCUAGAAAGACAAGGCACAACCUCUUUGGUCUCUGCCUCUUUUCAUGGCACAGACACCAAAAGCAGGUGCAGAACCAGGGCGACAAAAGUGAGGCCACUGGGAAGGGAAGUAAGAAGGACUGGGACAUGAUGCAAAGGCCCUACAGGCUCCCACUUUACGAUGGGCCUACAAAUGACACUGAAGUUGGCGCAGCACACAGGACUUUCUCUGGGCAAGCAAAAAGAAAAACCAUGACUUGGUGUACACUGCAGGGGAGAAGGAAGAGGGGAACUUAUCUGCCUGGCUUUCUCCCUUCUCCUAUUCCCAUUGUUCAGUGUGACUACAACACACUCUGGGCUGCAUCAAAGAAGGUACAUUUGGGAUGUCACAUCAAAGCACAAGUUCCUGCCAUCUAAUGGAUGACCAGACAACAUGGAGAAAAGAGCUCUCCUAGAAAGCCAAGGCCCAGAAGAGUGAGGAGAAGGCCUGUGUCCGGCAGGGUCUACUGAUUCUAAGCCUACGACAUACUGAGAAGAAAAUCAACUCUCUAUCAAGGAAUGUGAUAGAUGUGGGGUGUGGGGGGAAUUUAAUAAAACUGUAUCGGUGGAAGACUUUGUCACCUGAAUAAUGUAUAGGAAAUACCUGUUUCUUUUCUUUUUAGGGGGUGGGAGGCAGUAAGAAUAAAAACAAGAGAAACGCACGGCAAGUAGGAGCUAGGAGCUGGUAAAGAUUAAGUAUCAUCAUUGAUUUAAAGAGUACAAAGUUUGAAGAAAAUGCUUCCCCGAGACAUUUGGCAAGGAUACAGCUUUCCUCUAUUAUGCCCAGGCAGCCACCUCUGAAAGCUCCCUAGAAUAUAACUCAAGAAUGGCACCCAAAAUCCCUGAGCAUCUUGUUCCUCUCCAGCCAUACAAAGGGAUGACAACAACAUGGAUCCAGCAACCGGAAGGUAUGUUUGCCACUGUGUGUCAGCCAGACUUCAAAAUGGUCCCCAGUGAUUCUUGCCUCCUGGUAUUCAUGACCCAUGUAGUCAGGUAGGUCUGACCUACAUAACCAACAGGAUGCUGCAGAAAUGACAGUAUGGGACUUCCAAGGCUAGGGCUCUGGGGGAAACCAGUCCACAUGUUGUGAGGACAUUCAAGCAGCCCUGUGGAAAAGCCCAUGUGGCAAAACACUGAGGCCUCCUGCCCACAGCCAGCAUUAGCUUCCCAGCCUCUGUAGUGGGCCACUUUGGAAGUAGGCGCUCCUGCCUGUCCAAAUUACAGUGGACCGAGGCCCCAACCAAAAGCUUGGCUGGAAUCUCAUGAGACACCCCUGGCCAGAAACACCUGGGCUCAAUGGUCCAAAUUCCUGACCCACAGAAACUGUGUAAAAAAUGUUUAUUGUUGUGUUGAGCUGCUGAGUUUGGGAGUAACCUGCUAUGCUGCACUAAACAACUAACAGAGACGGCCUGACUUAAAGACCAAUGUGACACACACAGAAUUCACUUCCCAGGAGCUGGGACUGGGGUCUCCACCAGCACAACUGCAGGCAAAGGCUGAAAGGUCUCUGCACAGGCACCCACACUAUUCUGCCCAGGGUGGUCCCAGGGGCAGAGGCAGGGGCAGAUUUCCAUCACCAUGGUCUAGGGCUCCCCUGUGACAGACGGGAGGCCAGCUGAUUUCCAAAACUGCUUGGUGAGCACUAACUGGGGCAGCAGAGGAGGGGCAUCAGCUCCCCCAGAGGAGAUAGCAUCUGGCCUUGUCCACAGAGGCACUAGGAAUCAAUCUGGAGUCACGAGGUCACAUGUGGCCCCAAAUUGGGGGUAAACCCACAGAAGAAACGACCCUCCACAAAGUAACUCUUGAAACUAUGCAUGCUGCCCUGCAAUCCCUUUGAUGUACCUUUAAGUUCAUUUGGACCUUUUGAUAUUUGUUCUUGAAGUCAUCUCCAAGUAAAAUUAUUUAACUCU